UAGAGUUUGAUCAUGGCUCAGAACGUACGCUGGCGGCACGCCUAACACAUGCAAGUCGAACGAAGUAGCAAUACUUAGUGGCAGACGGGUGAGUAACAUGUGGGUAUCUACCCUUUGGCCUGGAAUAACACGAGGAAACUUGUGCUAAUACCGGAUAAGUCUUUACGGAGAAAGCUUUAUGCACCAUUGGAUGAGCCCGCACUUGAUUAGUUUGUUGGUAGGGUAAUGGCCUACCAAGACUAUGAUCAAUAGCUGAUUUGAGAGGAUGAUCAGCCACAUUGGGACUGAGACACGGCCCAAACUCCUACGGGAGGCAGCAGUGGGGAAUCUUGCACAAUGGAGGAAACUCUGAUGCAGCGAUGCCGCGUGAGUGAAGAAGGCCUUUGGGUUGUAAAGCUCUUUCGUCGGGGAAGAAAAUGACUGUACCCGAAUAAGAAGGUCCGGCUAACUUCGUGCCAGCAGCCGCGGUAAUACGAAGGGACCUAGCGUAGUUCGGAAUUACUGGGCUUAAAGAGUUCGUAGGUGGUUGAAAAAGUUAGUGGUGAAAUCCCAGAGCUUAACUCUGGAACUGCCAUUAAAACUUUUCAGCUAGAGUAUGAUAGAGGAAAGCAGAAUUUCUAGUGUAGAGGUGAAAUUCGUAGAUAUUAGAAAGAAUACCAAUUGCGAAGGCAGCUUUCUGGAUCAUUACUGACACUGAGGAACGAAAGCAUGGGUAGCGAAGAGGAUUAGAUACCCUCGUAGUCCAUGCCGUACACGAUGUGUGUUAGACGUUGGAAAUUUAUUUUCAGUGUCGCAGGAAACCGAUAAACACACCGCCUGGGGAGUACGACCGCAAGGUUAAAACUCAAAUGAAUUGACGGGGACCCGCACAAGUAGUGGAGCAUGUGGUUUAAUUUCGAAGAUACGCGCAGAACCUUACCAACACU
rnacentral:rRNA from 1 species